GAUGAACGCUGGCGGCGUGCCUAAUACAUGCAAGUCGAGCGAACAGACGAGGAGCUUGCUCCUCUGACGUUAGCGGCGGACGGGUGAGUAACACGUGGAUAACCUACCUAUAAGACUGGGAUAACUUCGGGAAACCGGAGCUAAUACCGGAUAAUAUAUUGAACCGCAUGGUUCAAUAGUGAAAGACGGUUUUGCUGUCACUUAUAGAUGGAUCCGCGCCGCAUUAGCUAGUUGGUAAGGUAACGGCUUACCAAGGCGACGAUGCGUAGCCGACCUGAGAAGGUGAUCGGCCACACUGGAACUGAGACACGGUCCAGACGCCUACGGGAGGCAGCAGUAGCGAAUCUUCCACGAUGGGCGGAAGCCUGACGGAGCAACGCCGCGUGAGUGAUGAAGGUCUUCGGAGCGUAAAACUCUGUUAUUAGGGAAGAACAAAUGUGUAAGUAACUAUGCACGUAUUGACGGUACCUAAUCAGGAAGCCACGGCUAACUACGUG
rnacentral:rRNA from 1 species